rnacentral:rRNA from 1 species
GAUGAACGCUGGCGGCGUGCCUAAUACAUGCAAGUCGAGCGAACAGAUGAGGAGCUUGCUCCUCUGACGUUAGCGGCGGACGGGUGAGUAACACGUGGAUAACCUACCUAUAAGACUGGGAUAACUUCGGGAAACCGGAGCUAAUACCGGAUAAUAUAUUGAACCGCAUGGUUCAAUAGUGAAUGACGGUUUUGCUGUCACUUAUAGCUGGAUCCGCGCCGCAUUAGCUAGUUGGUAAGGUAACGGCUUACCAAGGCAACGAUGCGUAGCCGACCUGAGAGGGUGAUAGGCCACACUGGAGCUGAGACACGGUCCAGAGGCCUACGGGAGGCAGCAGUAGCGAAUGUUCCGCAAUGGGCGAAAGCCUGACGCAGCAACGCCGCGUGAGUUAUGAAGGUCUUCGGAUCGUAAAACUCUGUUAUUAGGGAAGAACAAAUGUGUAAGUAACUAUGCACGUCUUGACGGUACCUAAUCAGAAAGCCACGGCUAACUACGUG